UACGUAGGGGGCAAGCGUUGUCCGGAAUCAUUGGGCGUAAAGCGCGUGUAGGCGGCCAGAAAAGUCCGCUGUGAAAACUCGAGGCUCAACUUCGAGAUGUCGGUGGAAACUUUCUGGCUAGAGUCCGGAAGAGGAGAAUGGAAUUCCUGGUGUAGCGGUGAAAUGCGCAGAUAUCAGGAAGAACACCCGUGGCGAAGGCGGUUCUCUGGGACGGUACUGACGCUGAGACGCGAAAGCGUGGGGAGCGAACAGG
rnacentral:rRNA from 1 species